CUCUCAAAUCAGAUAUUUAGCUGAAGAUCUUUAGAAACAAAAUGUUAUGCAUCCUAAGAGAAACAUGGACCAGUAUAUACCCAUUAAUGGUGUUACCCUCCAUUAUCUGGACAGAUCCAUGAACAAAGCACCAUUUCAUCAAACAACACCAGUAUGAUGGCUUUCUGCAAGUGGAUUUAUCCUGGGUUUACACAGUUCAUGAAUACAAUUUCUCUGAAGCUCUAUAAAAUUAAUUGAAAAUGUC